rnacentral:rRNA from 1 species
GUGAACGCUGGCGGGAGGCCUAACACAUGCAAGUCGAACGGCAGCACAGUAAGAGCUUGCUCUUACGGGUGGCGAGUGGCGGACGGGUGAGGAAUACAUCGGAAUCUACUUUUUCGUGGGGGAUAACGUAGGGAAACUUACGCUAAUACCGCAUACGACCUACGGGUGAAAGCAGGGGAUCUUCGGACCUUGCGCGAUUGAAUGAGCCGAUGUCGGAUUAGCUAGGUGGCGGGGUAAAGGCUCACCAAGGCGACGAUCCGUAGCUGGUCUGAGGGGAUGAGCGGCCACGCUGGAAGUGAGACACGGGCCAGACUCGUACGGGAGGCAGCAGUGGGGAAUAUUGGACAACGGGCGUAAGCCUGAUCCAGCCAUACCGCGUGGGUGAAGAAGGCCUUCGGGUUGUAAAGCCCUUUUGUUGGGAAAGAAAAGCAGCAUGUUAAUACCCCGCUGUUCUGACGGUACCCAAAGAAUAAGCACCGGCUAACUUCGUG